UACAGAGGGUGCGAGCGUUGUCCGGAAUCACUGGGCGUAAAGGGCGCGUAGGUGGCGACCCAAGUCCAUGGUGAAAGCUCGAUGCUCAACAUCGAGUCGGCCACGGAUACUGGGUUGCUGGAGCACUGUAGAGGGCAGAUGGAAUUCCGGGUGUAGCGGUGGAAUGCGUAGAGAUCCGGAAGAACACCGGGUGGCGAAGGCGGUCUGCUGGGCAGUUGCUGACACUGAGGCGCG
rnacentral:rRNA from 1 species